AUUGUCGUUACUAUUAUACUUUGGGCCCACAUUUUAAUCAAAGAACAGAUUGGUUUUAUCCUAAUUGAUCCUGAUAUCUUAUUUGAAAUUUGUGUCCCUUCCUGUGUGUCUCUCUGUGUGUCAGUUAGCAUAUAUCAUGGCAAUUCAAUGGGGCUUACCUGUAUAAUGAAUAAAAAUCAGUGUCAAACCUGAGACUGAGCAUGUCUUCCUUUAUUGUUCAGGUAGGAUGGGCAGAUAUCUGCACUGAUCCAGCCUUGUCAUCACGUUUCUGCAUUGCCGGGUACUCUGGAAAUAAAGUUAUGACUGUGACACCUGUUCCAAAAGAAGCCAAAGAGAAGAC
rnacentral:lncRNA from 1 species